rnacentral:lncRNA from 1 species
CUAUAUAAAUAAGGUGGACUUGACCAAAGACCAAAACUUUUGACCAAAUUUUGAAAGUUCUGGACGCAAGACUCUUCGGCUGGCCGCAUACUUCUGCAUUGUCGACGGUCUUUGAAUUCCCGUCAGAUUUAUAUAGUGUACGACCAUGACUUGUAUUUUCUUGUUGGGCCUUUUUUUUUGGACUGAAACAUAUUUUCAUAAAUCAUCAAGCCCAUCUCACUUAGAUUCAAGCCAAUAAGCCAAGCCUUCUUUUGAUUUGUUUGUUGCUGAUCAUGGUUACAUCAUCCCCUC